rnacentral:rRNA from 1 species
AAAGCCCCCUUCGGGGGGCAAGUAGAGUGGCGCACGGGUGAGUAACACGUAGGUAAUCUACCUUUGGAUGGGGAAUAACAACCGGAAACGGUUGCUAAUACCGCAUAAUGCAGCGGCACCUAAUGGUGACAGUUGUUAAAGCGGGGGAUCGCAAGACCUCGCGUCUGAAGAGGAGCCUGCGGCAGAUUAGCUAGUUGGUAAGGUAAAGGCUUACCAAGGCGAUGAUCUGUAGCCGGCCUGAGAGGGCGGUCGGCCACACUGACACUGACAUACGGGUCAGACUCCUACGGGAGGCAGCAGUCGGGAAUUUUGGGCAAUGGGCGAAAGCCUGACCCAGCAACGCCGCGUGAAGGAUGAAAUCCCUCGGGAUGUAAACUUCGCAAGAACGGGAAGAAUAAGUAAGAGCUAACAUCUCUUAUGAUGACGGUACUGUUUGUAAGCUCCGGCUAACUCCGUGCCAGCAGCCGCGGUAAUACGGGGGGAGCAAGCGUUGUUCGGAUUUACUGGGCGUAAAGGGCGCGUAGGCGGCCACCGCAAGUCGACUGUGAAAUCUCCGGGCUUAACUCGGAAAGGUCAGCCGAUACUGCGGGGCUAGAGUGCAGAAGGGGCAACUGGAAUUCUCGGUGUAGCGGUGAAAUGCGUAGAUAUCGAGAGGAACACCUGCGGCGAAGGCGGGUUGCUGGGCUGACACUGACGCUGAGGCGCGAAAGCUAGGGGAGCGAACGGGAUUAGAUACCCCGGUAGUCCUAGCCUUAAACGAUGAAUGCUUGGUGUCUGGGGUUUUAUAGU